CGUAGGGUGCGAGCGUUAAUCGGAAUUACUGGGCGUAAAGCGUGCGCAGGCGGUUAUAUAAGACAGAUGUGAAAUCCCCGGGCUCAACCUGGGAACUGCAUUUGUGACUGUAUAGCUAGAGUACGGCAGAGGGGGAUGGAAUUCCGCGUGUAGCAGUGAAAUGCGUAGAUAUGCGGAGGAACACCGAUGGCGAAGGCAAUCCCCUGGGCCUGUACUGACGCUCAUGCACGAAAGCGUGGGGAGCAAACAGGAUUAGAUACCCUGGUAGUCCACGCCCUAAACGAUGUCAACUGGUUGUUGGAUCUUCACUGACUCAGUAACGAAGCUAACGCGUGAAGUUGACCGCCUGGGGAGUACGGCCGCAAGGUUG
rnacentral:rRNA from 1 species